GUCCGGUGAGGGUACGGGUCGAAGUUCAUCGGUUACCACUGAUAAUGGGGCUGUCGCAGGUUCGAGUCCUGCCCGGGACG
rnacentral:tRNA from 1 species